rnacentral:tRNA from 1 species
AUUUUAUUAAUUUAAAAAAAAUAUUAAAUUGCAAAUUUAAAUCUAUAAUUAACAUUAUAUAAAAUU